AUUUAAGCGAAGGAGAAACAGGAAGGGUCCCUUUUUCCCGUUUGCCUCCUCCAGCGGCAGAAUGUGAGCCACCGGCAACGAGGGACGCCAAUAAGGCCUCCGAUAAGGAAGACUUCUCCUUCUCUAGAAGCUACACUUCAAAAACUGAGGCCAAGAUUAUCCCAGCUGCAUGUCACACGGUCCUUGCCUCACCCCUGAAGAGGAGGGCAGAUAAAAUGGCACCUACUUCCUUCUCGGAAUUUCCUGGACUCGGUCCUCGUUCCCUGCUCCCAGGACUUGAACUCACACCUACCAUGUUGGAAGUGCCCUGAGACUAUUGAUAAAACAGCCUGCAGUCCCUGGAGAUGUCACUCACCAUAGGACACUUAACCUGAAUGCACGAGGCCCUAGAGUCUGUCCCCAGUGCAAUAAAUUAAACAUAGCGUAUUAAAACAGGCAGUAAAUUGA
rnacentral:lncRNA from 1 species